rnacentral:rRNA from 1 species
GACGUAGGGCGCGAGCGUUGUCCGGAUUUAUUGGGCGUAAAGAGCUCGUAGGCGGCUUGUUACGUCGACUGUGAAAACCCGCGGCUCAACUGCGGCCUGCAGUCGAUACGGGCAGGCUAGAGUUCGGUAGGGGAGACUGGAAUUCCUGGUGUAGCGGUGAAAUGCGCAGAUAUCAGGAGGAACACCGGUGGCGAAGGCGGGUCUCUGGGCCGAUACUGACGCUGAGGAGCGAAAGCGUGGGGAGCGAACAGG